CCUACGGGAGGCAGCAGUGGGGAAUCUUGUGCAAUGGACGAAAGUCUGACACAGCCACGCCGCGUGCGGGAAGAAGGCCUUCGGGUUGUAAACCGCUUUCAGCAGGAACGAAAAUGACGGUACCUGCAGAAGAAGAUGCGGCCAACUACGUGCCAGCAGCCGCGGUGAUACGUAGGCAUCAAGCGUUGUCCGGAUUUAUUGGGCGUAAAGAGCUCGUAGGCGGUUCAGCAAGUCGGGUGUGAAAACUCUGGGCUUAACCCAGAGCCUGCACUCGAAACUGCUGUGACUAGAGUUCGGUAGGGGAGCAGGGAAUUCCUAGUGUGGCGGUGAAAUGCGCAGAUAUUAGGAGGAACACCAAUGGCGAAGGCACUGCUCUGGGCCGAUAUUGACGCUGAGGAGCGAGAGCGUGGGUAGCAAACAGGAUUAGAUACCCUGGUAGUCCACGCCGUAAACGAUGGGCACUAGGUGUGGGUCUCUAACCAACGAGAUCUGCGCCGUCGCUAACGCAUUAAGUGCCCCGCCUGGGGAGUCGGUCGCAAGACUAAAACUCAAAUGAAUUGACGG
rnacentral:rRNA from 1 species